UACGGAGGAUGCGAGCGUUAUCCGGAUUUAUUGGGUUUAAAGGGUGCGUAGGCGGACCGACAAGUCAGCGGUGAAACCCCGGGGCUCAACCCCGGACCUGCCGUCGAAACUGCCGGUUUUGAAUUCGGAUGCCGUGGGAGGAAUGAGUAGUGUAGCGGUGAAAUGCUUAGAUAUUACUCAGAACACCGAUUGCGAAGGCAUCUCACGAAUCCGAGAUUGACGCUGAGGCACGAAAGCGUGGGGAUCAAAC
rnacentral:rRNA from 1 species